UACGUAGGUGACAAGCGUUGUCCGGAAUUACUGGGCGUAAAGCGUGCGCAGGCGGGUUUGCAAGCCGGAUGUGAAAUCCCCGGGCUCAACCUGGGAAUGGCAUUUGGGACUGCAAGGCUCGAGUGCGGCAGAGGAGACUGGAAUUCCUGGUGUAGCAGUGAAAUGCGUAGAUAUCAGGAGGAAUACCGAUGGCGAAGGCAGGUCUCUGGGCUGACACUGACGCUCAUGCACGAAAGCGUGGGGAGCAAACAGG
rnacentral:rRNA from 1 species